rnacentral:rRNA from 1 species
UCGAGGGGUAACAUAGAAAAGCUUGCUUUUCUGAUGACGACCGGCGCACGGGUGCGUAACGCGUAUACAAUCUGCCUUAUACUGGGGUAUAGCCUUUAGAAAUGAAGAUUAAUCCCCCAUAGUCUCUUUAAAUGGCAUCAUUUUAAGAGUAAAGGUUACGGUAUAAGAUGAGUAUGCGUUCUAUUAGUUUGUUGGUGAGGUAACGGCUCACCAAGACUGCGAUAGAUAGGGGCCCUGAGAGGGGGAUCCCCCACACUGGUACUGAGACACGGACCAGACUCCUACGGGAGGCAGCAGUGAGGAAUAUUGGACAAUGGAGGCAACUCUGAUCCAGCCAUGCCGCGUGCAGGAAGACUGCCCUAUGGGUUGUAAACUGCUUUUAUACAGGAAGAAACCUUGGUACGUGUACCAAGCUGACGGUACUGUAAGAAUAAGGAUCGGCUAACUCCGUGCCAGCAGCCGCGGUAAUACGGAGGAUCCAAGCGUUAUCCGGAAUCAUUGGGUUUAAAGGGUCCGUAGGUGGAUAAUUAAGUCAGGGGUGAAAUCUUGCAGCUCAACUGUAAAAUUGCCUUUGAUACUGGUUAUCUUGAGUCAUUAUGAAGUAGUUAGAAUAUGUAGUGUAGCGGUGAAAUGCAUAGAUAUUACAUAGAAUACCAAUUGCGAAGGCAGAUUACUAAUAAUGUACUGACACUGAUGGACGAAAGCGUGGGGGAGCGAACAGGAUUAGAU